CCUACGGGUGGCAGCAGUGAGGAAUAUUGGUCAAUGGGCGGGAGCCUGAACCAGCCAAGUCGCGUGAGGGAAGACGGUCCUAUGGAUUGUAAACCUCUUUAGGCGGGGAGCAAUGCCGGGCACGCGUGCCCGGAGGGAGAGUACCCGCAGACUAAGCAUCGGCUAACUCCGUGCCAGCAGCCGCGGUAAUACGGAGGAUGCGAGGGUUCUCCGGAUUUAUGGGGUUUAACGGGUGCGUAGGCGGAUUUUUGAUUCAGCGGGAAAUUGUCCGGGCUCAACCCGGGCCGGCCGUUGAAACUGGGGAUCUUGAGUGGGCGAGAAGUAUGCGGAAUGCGUGGUGUAGCGGUGAAAUGCAUAGAUAUCACGCAGAACUCCGAUUGCGAAGGCAGCAUACCGGCGCCCGACUGACGCUGAGGCACGAAAGCGUGGGGAUCGAACAGGAUUAGAUACCCUGGUAGUC
rnacentral:rRNA from 1 species